UGCUGCUUUGACUCUCGUCACAGCCCAUACCUCUGACGUCCUCCACUGACAAAUAAGGAACUUGAAAAUCAACUUGAACACUACUAUGCCCUAGAAGAGCUGUGGUUUGAGAAAAAGCCUAUCUGCUUGCAGAGUCCUAGAAGAACUUGCAUGGUAAUUCAGGAAUGGGAAAAAAAAUUAGAGGAAUGGUGACACCUUUUCACUUAGAGAGGAAUAAAGUCAAACAAAUUGCAUCGUACCUUUGGACCUAACUGACAGUCCAGUCCCUCUCUUCUGCUCAGAUAUAAAGUCAUAACAACAACCUGUGUAUGAAACCUAAUAAGAUCAGCUAACUUCUAUCAGUUGUAAGAAGAGUACAUUUCACUGAUAAUAAA